rnacentral:rRNA from 1 species
CCCCUAGUAACGGCGAGUGAAGCGGGAUGAGCUCAAAUUUGAAAGCUGGCCUCUGGUCCGCAUUGUAAUCUCGAGAAGUGUUUUCCGUGGCGGAUUGCGUACAAUUCCCUUGGAAUAGGGCGUCGUAGAGGGUGAGAAUCCCGUACUUGACGCAGGCUCCGCUGCUUUGUGAUACACUCUCCAAGAGUCGAGUUGUUUGGGAAUGCAGCUCAAAAUGGGUGGUAAAUUCCAUCUAAAGCUAAAUAGUGGGGAGAGACCGAUAGCGAACAAGUACCGUGAGGGAAAGAUGAAAAGCACUUUGGAAAGAGAGUUAAACAGUACGUGAAAUUGUCGAAAGGGAAGCGCUGGAAGUCAGCGAUGCCAGUCGAGAUUCAGCCUUGCUUCUGCCUGGUGUACUUUUCGACUGGCAGGCCAGCAUCGGUUUGGAUCGCCGGAGAAGGGCGAGAGGAAGGUGGCACCCUCGGGUGUGUUAUAGCCUCUCGCUGGAUACGGCGGCCUGGACCGAGGAACGCAGUGUGCCAUUUCGGUGGGCCCUCGGGCACCUUCACACUUUGGAUGCUGGCGUAAUG